rnacentral:tRNA from 1 species
GCUUCGGUAGCUCAGUUGGUAGAGCACUUGCCCGCGAGAGGCAAAGGUCCCGAGUUCGAGUCUCGGUCGGGGACA